UACGAACCGUCCUACCGUUGUUCGGAAUCACUGGGCUUAAAGGGCGCGUAGGCGGGCAGCCAAGUCUGAGGUGAAAUCUUUCGGCUUAACCGGAAAAUAGCCUUGGAUACUGGCAGUCUCGAGGGAGGUAGGGGCAUGUGGAACUUCCGGUGGAGCGGUGAAAUGCGUUGAUAUCGGAAGGAACGCCGGUGGCGAAAGCGACGUGCUGGACCUCUACUGACGCUGAGGCGCGAAAGCCAGGGGAGCAAACGGG
rnacentral:rRNA from 1 species